ensembl:lncRNA
GCGAGAGAGAGGUGGGGGGGAGGAGGGAGAGAGGGGGAUGGCGAGAUUGAAAGGGAUCUUUGCAAACACAAUCACGUUCUUAAAUGGAAAUGCGGCUUUAAACAAAUCUUACAUCUCUGCGCUCCCAGUAAAACUCUGCAAUCAGGAGAGAGAGAACGUUCUCCUCUCCUGUUCUCUCAGAACAGGACCGUUCUCCAGAAGAACGUUUUAAUCAUCCACCUCAAAGCAAGGUUGGGCUUUUUGUUUCAUGUGGAGCGUUUGUUUUGGUUUUGGUUUCUUUCGCGUGCGCAGCUCCUCUCUGUGUCCGCGCGGGACACGCGGUACCCCGCUGUGAGGCUCGAGUUGUGAGGCUCUUCGCGCUGUGAGGCUCGCGCUCAAAGAAGACUGAAGCAGCAGAGAGAGACUCCCCUCUCAGGAGUCAGAGAGAGGACUCAUGUUCUCCUCUCUCAGGAGUCAGAGACAGGCCUCAUGUUCUCCUCUCUCAGGAGUCAGAGAGAGGACUCUUGUUCUCCUCUCAGGAGUCAGAGACAGACCUCCUGUUCUCCUCUCUCAGGAGUCAGAGAGGACACCUCAUCUCCUCUCUCUGACUCCAGAGAGAGGACUCUUGUUCUCCUCUACAGGAGUCAGAGAGAGGAGUCAUGUUCUCCUCUCAGGAGUCGGAGAGAGGACUCAUGUUCUCCUCUCUCAGGAGUCAGAGAGAGGACUCUUGUUCUUCUCUCAGGAGUCAGAGAGAGGACUCAUGUUCUCCUCUACAGGAGUCAGAGACAGGACUCAUGUUCUCCUCUACAGGAUUCAGAGAGAGGACUCAUGUUCUCCUCUCUCAGGGGUCAGAGAGAGGACUCAUGUUUUCCUCUCUCAGGAGUCAGAGAGAGGACUCAUGUUCUCCUCUCUCAGGAGUCAGAGAGAGGACUCUUGUUCUCCUCUACAGAAGUCAGAGACAGGACUCAUGUUCUCCUCUCUCAGGAGUCAGAGAGAGGACUCAUGUUCUCCUCUCAGGAGUCAGAGACAGGCCUCAUGUUCUCCUCUCCCAGGAGUCAGAGACAGGCCUCAUGUUCUCCUCUCUCAGGAGUCUCUCUGCUGAGGUUCUCCAGGGCAUGGCGUACAGCGACACUACGUGCUGAGAUGGAAGACUUUGCCACACCUGUUCCACCACAGGUGUAACAGACAGAUGUAUUAACACCUGCUCAGAGUGAUUGAUGCCACUUGUUCUGCUGGUUUUCGGCAGUAAAGCCGACGCGUUGGGGUUGUCAGUCUCCUGAGUGUCUGUGAGUGAUGUCCCAGCCUGUGUGACACCUCAGUUACCCCCAGAACCUCCUCCAUCACCUCCAGCUCCACCUUAUUCAAUCAGUCGUUGGAUAUUACACUUUAAAUGCUCCUCAUUCAUCUGUUUUCUUUGUGACUUCAAGAAUAAUAAAGGAUAAAAUAAUAGCU